UACGUAGGUGGCAAGCGUUGUCCGGAAUUAUUGGGCGUAAAGCGUGCGCAGGCGGUUGUGCAAGACCGAUGUGAAAUCCCCGGGCUCAACCUGGGAAUGGCAUUGGUGACUGCACGGCUAGAGUGUGUCAGAGGGGGGUAGAAUUCCACGUGUAGCAGUGAAAUGCGUAGAGAUGUGGAGGAAUACCGAUGGCGAAGGCAGCCCCCUGGGAUAACACUGACGCUCAUGCACGAAAGCGUGGGGAGCAAACAGG
rnacentral:rRNA from 1 species